rnacentral:sRNA from 1 species
GACUCUUGCAAAUUCUAUCAAGGAUCCAAGUAUCAUUUCCGGAAAACCCGCCAAGGCAAUCUGCUUAUCAACAGAGAGAACGCGCUGCCCCGUAAGAACCUGCACGACACUCAUCUCAUGAGGUCAGGGAGCACAAGAGGCGGAAGAGCACUAGGAUGGUCCGAUCAUCAAGCAAGGGUCGGAUAAUGUCGGGUCGGAGAACACAUGAGCGUCAUGCUCCACAACCUAUUAGGCUUGCGAUCGAGCACAAUGACGAGGAGAUGGCGGAGCCACACCAAGCACCGGUCAUGCCUGCUGAGUACACUCAAGCAGAUAUAGAUGACUACAUCUCCAGGACAUUCUAAUGAGGUAACACACCAAAACCCUUUGUAAAUACCGCUUUUGUUUUUGUUUCUGUGUCUAUCUUGAAUUCUUUCACAAAUUUUGAUUACCCAAGGGACUCUGUAAUUUAAGUUUGGGGGAGGGUUCAAAACGUAUUUGACUUGUUUUUUGUAAAUAUCAUUUGAGUCUACAUAUCAUCUAAGUCAUAGAAAAAAACAAAAA